rnacentral:misc_RNA from 1 species
GAAAAUUAACAUCGAGUUGGCAUCUCUUCACAGCGAUAAAUCCAAUUUUAACAGGAAGUUUAAUCUUCCACAGACUUCGAAAGAAGAAAAUUGUUGUUUGUUGUUUAGUUUUACAUUAUAACACGAAGAUAUACGAACGAUUUCUUCAAUCUUCAUCUUAGUAUCACGAAAGGUCUCAAAAUAUUUAGAAUUGAGUUUAUAAUUAUUCACAGCGUUGUAUCUCUUCUCUUCUUCGUGAUAAAGUCGAUUAAACUAAUCGCGAGAUGAUU